CGGCCAAGUUCACGCAUCCCGAUGCGGCGGCCCCGGCGCUGGUAAGAUUUGAAUUGAGGCAUCCGAACAAUACCAAAGAUGAGACUUGCGGAACUUUAAGAGCCCAAAGUGAUAGCCUAUUGAGAGGGCUUGCUAUAGUUAUCAUACCAAAGAGAAGUGUGGAGGCUGGAGGUGCUGGUCCUGAAACCGGUAGGAUUCUCCAGCCAAUCAGAGUCGCCGUAGCAUAGUUCUGGCCAACGUUGCAAAAUCGGAAAUUAUAAGGUUGUCGGUGUGGUGCGUGCGUGAUGUAGCCGGCGUGACGGCGGGUCGCGGUCGGCGUGACGUGAUGUCGGUGGAGCUCGGUGUUGGCGGUCGGGCGCGGUAACCGGAAGAGCCGGGCCGAGCAACUGUGACGGGCGUCCAGCCCGGAAUAAUCCGCCUCCAGCAUUCGGAGUCCGCCUCCGCCUCAUGCCGCAGAAGU
rnacentral:lncRNA from 1 species